rnacentral:rRNA from 1 species
UGGGGAAUAUUGCACAAUGGAGGGAACUCUGAUGCAGCGACGCCGCGUGAGUGAUGAAGGAAUUCGUUUCGUAAAACUCUGUUCUAUGGGAAGAAAAGGACUGUACCAUAGGAGAAAGCUCCGGCUAAAUACGUGCCAGCAGCCGCGGUAAUACGUAUGGAGCGAGCGUUGUCCGGAAUUAUUGGGCGUAAAGGGUGCGCAGGCGGCUUUACAAGUUGGAUGUGAAAUAUUGUGGCUCAACCACAAACGGGCAUCCAAAACUGCAAAGCUUGAGUUAAGGAGAGGUAAGUGGAAUUCCUGGUGUAGCGGUGGAAUGCGUAGAUAUCAGGAGGAAUACCGGUGGCGAAGGCGACUUACUGGACUUAAACUGACGCUCAGGCACGAAAGCGUGGGGAGCAAACAGG